rnacentral:rRNA from 1 species
AUGGCGAGCUGGAAGCUUAAGCAUUACUUUCAGGGACAUCCAAUCACUGUGGUUAGCUCUGCUCCUUUGGGAGACAUUAUUCAAAACAGAGAAGCCACGGGGCGAGUCGCCAAGUGGGUAACUGAGCUUGGAUCUCAUGGGUUGAAGUAUGUUCCAUGUACUGCAAUUAAGUCUCAAGCCCUGGUUGACUUCAUCAAUGACUGGACAGAGAUGCAGAUGCCGGAAGAGAAGCCGGACAACACAUAUUGGACUAUUCAUUUUGAUGGAUCCAGGCAAUUGGAAGGCUCGGGGGCUGGAGUCGUAUUAACUUCGCCACGAGGUGAUAAAUUUUGUUAUGUGUUACGGUUGAUAUUUCCAUGCACUAACAACACAACAGAGUAUGAAGCCUUGCUCCAUGGUCUUCGAGUGGCAAAGGAGAUGAGCUUGAGCCGGAUCAGAUGUCUUGAUGACUCAGAUCUAGUGGAUCAACAGGUAUCUGGCAAGUGGGAUUCCAAAGACCCUCUCAUGGCGGCUUAUCGCCGGGAGGUCGAUGCUGUUGCAGGAUAUUUUAAAGGUUAUCAGGUGGAACACAUUGACCGUCGAAAGAAUGAAGCGGCUGAUGCUUUAAGCCGGCUAGGGUCUCAGCGUAAGCCUGUGCCACCCAACACCUUUUUGGAUGUUUUGCAUAACCCCUCUGUCAAGUUGCCCACAGAAGAAGAUUUAGCUGUUCCUGACCCAGAGGCGCAGUUGGUAGCGGCUCUUCGUGUCAUCCCAGAUUGGACGAUACCGUUCUUGGCUUACAUGACCCGGGGAGAGUCGCCAGCGGAUGAGACCCUGGCUCGGCAGAUAACCAGGCGAUCUAAGUCCAUGACGAUUUCAGAUGGAGAGUUGUUUCAUCGCAGUGUUUCCGGAGCGUUUCAACGGUGUGUUUCCCCCGAAGAAGGUUAA